AUAACAUGGCUAUAUACAGGGAGGUAAUAACAUGGCUAUAUACAGGGAGUACCAGGUAAUAACAUGGUUAUAUACAGGGAGUACCAGGUAAUAACAUGGUUAUAUACAGGAAGUACCAGGUAAUAACAUGGUUAUAUACAGGAAGUACCAGGUAAUAACACGGUUAUAUACAGGGAGUACCAGGUAAUAACAUGGCUAUAUACAGGUAAUAACAUGGCUAUAUACAGGAAGUACCAGGUAAUAACAUGGUUAUAUACAGGGAGUACCAGGUAAUAACAUGGUUAUAUACAGGUAAUAACAUGGCUAUAUACAGGAAGUACCAGGUAAUAACAUGGCUAUAUACAGGGAGUACCAGGUAAUAACUUGGUUAUAUACAGGGAGUACCAGGUAAUAACAUGGCUAUAUACAGGGAGUACCAGGUAAUAACAUGACUAUAUACAGGUAAUAACAUGGCUUUAUACAGGGAGUACCAGGUAAUGACAUGGCUCACCGAGGUGAGGUUAGCUCACAGAGGUACGGUUAGCUCACAGAGGUGAGGUUAGCUCACAGAGGUACAGUUAGCUCACAGUGGUGAGGUUAGCUCACAGUGGUAGUGGUAAGGUUAGCUCACCGAGGUACAGUUAGCUCACAGUGGUAGUGGUAAGGCUAGCUCACAGAGGUGAGGUUAGCUCACAGAGGUAGUGGUAAGGCUAGCUCACAGAGGUGAGGUUAGCUCCCAGAGGUGAGGUUAGCUCACAGAGGUACAGUUAGCUCACAGUGGUAGUGGUAAGGCUAGCUCACAGAGGUGAGGUUAGCUCACAGAGGUGAGGUUAGCUCACAGUGGUAGUGGUAAGGUUAGCUCACCGAGGUACAGUUAGCUCACAGUGGUAGUGGUAAGGCUAGCUCACAGAGGUGAGGUUAGCUCACAGAGGUGAGGUUAGCUCACAGAGGUACAGUUAGCUCACAGUGGUAGUGGUAAGGCUAGCUCACAGAGGUAGUGGUAAGGCUAGCUCACAGAGGUACAGUUAGCUCACAGUGAUAGUGGUAAGGUUAGCUCACAGAGGUGAGGUUAGCUCACAGAGGUGAGGUUAGCUCACAGAGGUACGGCGCCCAGUUCAUGUUAGUUCUAGAUCUGUCACUCUCACUGACAGCAAGUCUCUCUUUACCGACCAAAUUCACAUAGAAAUGUUAGUUCUAGAUCUGUCACUCUCACUGACAGCAUGUCUCUCUGCAGGUUACUGACCAAAUGCACGGAGAAAUUUUAGUUCUAGAUCUGUCAGCCUCAUUGCCAGUCUCUCUGCAGGUUGUGAGAACCCCAAGCCCCGUCAGCCUCAUUGCCAGUCUCUAUGCAGGUUGUGAGAACCCCAAGCCCUGUCAGUCUCAUUGAGAGUCUCUCUCUAGGUUGUGAGAACCCCAAGCCCUGUCAGUCUCAUUGAGAGUCUCUCUGCAGGUUGUGAUAACCCCAAGCCCUGUCAGUCUCAUCAUUGCCAGUCUCUCUGCAGGUUGUGAGAACCCCAAGCCCUGUCGGUCUCAUUGAGAGUCUCUCUGCAGUUUGUGAGAACCCCAAGCCCUGUCAGUCUCAUUGAGAGUCUCUCUGCAGGUUGUGAGAACCCCAAGCCCUGUCAGUCUCAUUGCCAGUCUCUCUGCAGGUUGUGAGAACCCCAAGCCCUGUCAGUCUCAUUGAGAGUCUCUCUGCAGGUUGUGAGAACCCCAAGCCCUGUCAGUCUCAUUGAGAGUCUCUCUGCAGGUUGUGAGAACCCCAAGCCCUGUCAGUCUCAUUGCCAGUCUCUCUGCAGGUUGUGAGAACCCCAAGCCCUGUCAGUCUCAUUGAGAGUCUCUCUGCAGGUUGUGAGAACCCCAAGCCCUGUCAGUCUCAUUGAGAGUCUCUCUGCAGGUUGUGAGAACCCCAAGCCCUGUCGGUCUCAUUGAGAGUCUCUCUGCAGGUUGUGAGAACCCCAAGCCCUGUCGGUCUCAUUGAGAGUCUCUCUGCAGGUUGUGAGAACCCCAAGCCCUGUCGGUCUCAUUGAGAGUCUCUCUGCAGGUUGUGAGAACCCCAAGCCCUGUCAGUCUCAUUGAGAGUCUCUCUGCAGGUUGUGAGAACCCCAAGCCCUGUCGGUCUCAUUGAGAGUCUCUCUGCAGGUUGUGAGAACCCCAAGCCCUGUCGGUCUCAUUGAGAGUCUCUCUGCAGGUUGUGAGAACCCCAAGCCCUGUCAGUCUCAUUGAGAGUCUCUCUGCAGGUUGUGAGAACCCCAAGCCCUGUCAGUCUCAUUGAGAGUCUCUCUGCAGGUUGUGAGAACCCCAAGCCCUGUCAGUCUCAUUGAGAGUCUCUCUGCAGGUUGUGAGAACCCCAAGCCCUGUCGGUCUCAUUGAGAGUCUCUCUGCAGGUUGUGAGAACCCCAAGCCCUGUCAGUCUCAUUGCCAGUCUCUCUGCAGGUUGUGAGAACCCCAAGCCCUGUCAGUCUCAUUGCCAGUCUCUCUGCAGGUUGUGAGAACCCCAAGCCCUGUCAGUCUCAUUGAGAGUCUCUCUGCAGGUUGUGAGAACCCCAAGCCCUGUCAGUCUCAUUGAGAGUCUCUCUGCAGGUUGUGAGAACCCCAAGCCCUGUCGGUCUCAUUGAGAGUCUCUCUGCAGGUUGUGAGAACCCCAAGCCCUGUCGGUCUCAUUGAGAGUCUCUCUGCAGGUUGUGAGAACCCCAAGCCCUGUCGGUCUCAUUGAGAGUCUCUCUGCAGGUUGUGAGAACCCCAAGCCCUGUCAGUCUCAUUGAGAGUCUCUCUGCAGGUUGUGAGAACCCCAAGCCCUGUCGGUCUCAUUGAGAGUCUCUCUGCAGGUUGUGAGAACCCCAAGCCCUGUCGGUCUCAUUGAGAGUCUCUCUGCAGGUUGUGAGAACCCCAAGCCCUGUCAGUCUCAUUGAGAGUCUCUCUGCAGGUUGUGAGAACCCCAAGCCCUGUCAGUCUCAUUGAGAGUCUCUCUGCAGGUUGUGAGAACCCCAAGCCCUGUCAGUCUCAUUGAGAGUCUCUCUGCAGGUUGUGAGAACCCCAAGCCCUGUCGGUCUCAUUGAGAGUCUCUCUGCAGGUUGUGAGAACCCCAAGCCCUGUCAGUCUCAUUGCCAGUCUCUCUGCAGGUUGUGAGAACCCCAAGCCCUGUCGGUCUCAUUGAGAGUCUCUCUGCAGGUUGUGAGAACCCCAAGCCCUGUCAGUCUCAUUGAGAGUCUCUCUGUGCAGGUUGUGAGAACCCCAAGCCCUGUCAGUCUCAUUGAGAGUCUCUCUGUGCAGGUUGUGAGAACCCCAAGCCCUGUCAGUCUCAUUGAGAGUCUCUCUGCAGGUUGUGAGAACCCCAAGCCCUGUCGGUCUCAUUGAGAGUCUCUCUGCAGGUUGUGAGAACCCCAAGCCCUGUCAGUCUCAUUGAGAGUCUCUCUGCAGGUUGUGAGAACCCCAAGCCCUGUCAGUCUCAUUGCCAGUCUCUCUGCAGGUUGUGAGAACCCCAAGCCCUGUCGGUCUCAUUGAGAGUCUCUCUGCAGGUUGUGAGAACCCCAAGCCCUGUCAGUCUCAUUGAGAGUCUCUCUGCAGGUUGUGAGAACCCCAAGCCCUGUCAGUCUCAUUGAGAGUCUCUCUGCAGGUUGUGAGAACCCCAAGCCCUGUCAGUCUCAUUGAGAGUCUCUCUGCAGGUUGUGAGAACCCCAAGCCCUGUCAGUCUCAUUGAGAGUCUCUCUGCAGGUUGUGAGAACCCCAAGCCCUGUCAGUCUCAUUGAGAGUCUCUCUGCAGGUUGUGAGAACCCCAAGCCCUGUCAGUCUCAUUGAGAGUCUCUCUGCAGGUUGUGAGAACCCCAAGCCCUGUCAGUCUCAUUGAGAGUCUCUCUGCAGGUUGUGAGAACCCCAAGCCCUGUCGGUCUCAUUGAGAGUCUCUCUGCAGGUUGUGAGAACCCCAAGCCCUGUCAGUCUCAUUGAGAGUCUCUCUGCAGGUUGUGAGAACCCCAAGCCCUGUCAGUCUCAUUGCCAGUCUCUCUGCAGGUUGUGAGAACCCCAAGCCCUGUCAGUCUCAUUGAGAGUCUCUCUGCAGGUUGUGAGAACCCCAAGCCCUGUCAGUCUCAUUGAGAGUCUCUCUGCAGGUUGUGAGAACCCCAAGCCCUGUCAGUCUCAUUGAGAGUCUCUCUGCAGGUUGUGAGAACCCCAAGCCCUGUCAGUCUCAUUGCCAGUCUCUCUGCAGGUUGUGAGAACCCCAAGCCCUGUCAGUCUCAUUGCCAGUCUCUCUGCAGGUUGUGAGAACCCCAAGCCCUGUCAGUCUCAUUGAGAGUCUCUCUGCAGGUUGUGAGAACCCCAAGCCCUGUCAGUCUCAUUGAGAGUCUCUCUGCAGGUUGUGAGAACCCCAAGCCCUGUCAGUCUCAUUGAGAGUCUCUCUGCAGGUUGUGAGAACCCCAAGCCCUGUCUGUCUCAUUGAGAGUCUCUCUGCAGGUUGUGAGAACCCCAAGCCCUGUCAGUCUCAUUGAGAGUCUCUCUGCAGGUUGUGAGAACCCCAAGCCCUGUCAGUCUCAUUGAGAGUCUCUCUGCAGGUUGUGAGAACCCCAAGCCCUGUCAGUCUCAUUGAGAGUCUCUCUGCAGGUUGUGAGAACCCCAAGCCCUGUCAGUCUCAUUGAGAGUCUCUCUGCAGGUUGUGAGAACCCCAAGCCCUGUCAAUCUCAUUGAGAGUCUCUCUGCAGGUUGUGAGAACCCCAAACCCUGUCAGUCUCAUUGAGAGUCUCUCUGCAGGUUGUGAGAACCCCAAGCCCUGUCAGUCUCAUUGAGAGUCUCUCUGCAGGUUGUGAGAACCCCAAGCCCUGUCGGUCUCAUUGAGAGUCUCUCUGCAGGUUGUGAGAACCCCAAGCCCUGUCGGUCUCAUUGAGAGUCUCUCUGCAGGUUGUGAGAACCCCAAGCCCUGUCAGUCUCAUUGAGAGUCUCUCUGCAGGUUGUGAGAACCCCAAGCCCUGUCAGUCUCAUUGCCAGUCUCUCUGCAGGUUGUGAGAACCCCAAGCCCUGUCAGUCUCAUUGCCAGUCUCUCUGCAGGUUGUGAGAACCCCAAGCCCUGUCAGUCUCAUUGAGAGUCUCUCUGCAGGUUGUGAUAACCCCAAGCCCUGUCAGUCUCAUCAUUGCCAGUCUCUCUGCAGGUUGUGAGAACCCCAAGCCCUGUCGGUCUCAUUGAGAGUCUCUCUGCAGUUUGUGAGAACCCCAAGCCCUGUCAGUCUCAUUGAGAGUCUCUCUGCAGGUUGUGAGAACCCCAAGCCCUGUCAGUCUCAUUGCCAGUCUCUCUGCAGGUUGUGAGAACCCCAAGCCCUGUCAGUCUCAUUGAGAGUCUCUCUGCAGGUUGUGAGAACCCCAAGCCCUGUCAGUCUCAUUGAGAGUCUCUCUGCAGGUUGUGAGAACCCCAAGCCCUGUCGGUCUCAUUGCCAGUCUCUCUGCAGGUUGUGAGAACCCCAAGCCCUGUCAGUCUCAUUGAGAGUCUCUCUGCAGGUUGUGAGAACCCCAAGCCCUGUCGGUCUCAUUGAGAGUCUCUCUGCAGGUUGUGAGAACCCCAAGCCCUGUCGGUCUCAUUGAGAGUCUCUCUGCAGGUUGUGAGAACCCCAAGCCCUGUCAGUCUCAUUGAGAGUCUCUCUGCAGGUUGUGAGAACCCCAAGCCCUGUCAGUCUCAUUGAGAGUCUCUCUGCAGGUUGUGAUAACCCCAAGCCCUGUCGGUCUCAUUGAGAGUCUCUCUGCAGGUUGUGAGAACCCCAAGCCCUGUCGGUCUCAUUGAGAGUCUCUCUGCAGGUUGUGAGAACCCCAAGCCCUGUCAGUCUCAUUGAGAGUCUCUCUGCAGGUUGUGAGAACCCCAAGCCCUGUCGGUCUCAUUGAGAGUCUCUCUGCAGGUUGUGAGAACCCCAAGCCCUGUCGGUCUCAUUGAGAGUCUCUCUGCAGGUUGUGAGAACCCCAAGCCCUGUCGGUCUCAUUGAGAGUCUCUCUGCAGGUUGUGAGAACCCCAAGCCCUGUCAGUCUCAUUGAGAGUCUCUCUGCAGGUUGUGAGAACCCCAAGCCCUGUCAGUCUCAUUGAGAGUCUCUCUGCAGGUUGUGAGAACCCCAAGCCCUGUCAGUCUCAUUGAGAGUCUCUCUGCAGGUUGUGAGAACCCCAAGCCCUGUCAGUCUCAUUGAGAGUCUCUCUGCAGGUUGUGAGAACCCCAAGCCCUGUCAGUCUCAUUGAGAGUCUCUCUGCAGGUUGUGAGAACCCCAAGCCCUGUCAGUCUCAUUGAGAGUCUCUCUGCAGGUUGUGAGAACCCCAAGCCCUGUCAGUCUCAUUGAGAGUCUCUCUGCAGGUUGUGAGAACCCCAAGCCCUGUCGGUCUCAUUGAGAGUCUCUCUGCAGGUUGUGAGAACCCCAAGCCCUGUCAGUCUCAUUGAGAGUCUCUCUGCAGGUUGUGAGAACCCCAAGCCCUGUCAGUCUCAUUGAGAGUCUCUCUGCAGGUUGUGAG